GGGCGAUUAGCUCAGUUGGUAGAGCACCUGCCUUACAAGCAGGGGGUCACUGGUUCGAGCCCGGUAUCGCCCACCA
rnacentral:tRNA from 1 species